rnacentral:misc_RNA from 1 species
AACGCACAUUGCGCCCCUUGGUAUUCCGAGGGGCAUGCCUGUUCGAGCGUCAUUAUGACCACUCAAGCCUAGCUUGGUAUUGGGGUUCGCGGUUCCGCGGCCUCUAAAAUCAGUGGCGGUGCCGUCUGGCUUCAAGCGUAGUAAUUUUCUCGCUACGGAGUCCGGGCGGUUGCUUGCCAAAACUCCCCCAACUUCUCACGGUUGACCUCGGAUCAGGUAGGGAUACCCGCUGAACUUAA